rnacentral:rRNA from 1 species
UUCCCCCUUCGGGGGGACAGGGUGGACAGGUGGUGCAUGGUUGUCGGUCAGCUCGUGUCGUGAGAUGUGGGUUAAGUCCCGCAACGAGCGCAACCCUCGACCUUAGUUGCCAGCAUUCAGUUGGGCACUCUAAGGUGACUGCCGGCUAAAAGUCGGAGGAAGGUGGGGGAUGACGUCAAAUCAUCAUGCCCUUAUGACCUGGGCUACACACGUGCUACAAUGGGCGGUACAAAGGGUCGCGAACCCGCGAGGGGGAGCCAAUCCCAAAAAGCCGCUCUCAGUUCGGAUUGCAGGCUGCAACUCGCCUGCAUGAAGCCGGAAUCGCUAGUAAUCGCGGAUCAGCAUGCCCGCGGUCGAAUACGUUCCGGGCCUU